rnacentral:rRNA from 1 species
GGAUGAGUGGCGAACGGGUGAGUAACACGUGGGGAAUCUGCCUAGGAGUGGGGGAUAACAUUCGGAAAACGGAUGCUAAUACCGCAUAUCUUCUUAGACCGCAUGGUCUAUGAAUGAAAGACGGCUUUGCUGUCGCUCUUAGAUGAUCCCGCGGCGUAUUAGUUAGUUGGUGGGGUAAAGGCCUACCAAGACAAUGAUACGUAGCCGACCUGAGAGGGUGAUCGGCCACACUGGGACUGAGACACGGCCCAGACUCCUACGGGAGGCAGCAGUAGGGAAUCUUCCACAAUGGGUGCAAACCUGAUGGAGCAAUGCCGCGUGAAUGAAGAAGGUCUUCGGAUCGUAAAGUUCUGUUAUUAGUGAAGAACAAAUCGAGGAGUAACUGUCUCGAUUUUGACGGUAACUAACCAGAAAGUCACGGCUAACUACGUGCCAGCAGCCGCGGUAAUACGUAGGUGACAAGCGUUGUCCGGAAUUAUUGGGCGUAAAGGGAGCGCAGGCGGUUGGAAUAGUCUGAUGUGAAAGCCCACGGCUUAACCGUGGAAGGUCAUUGGAAACUGUCCAACUUGAAUGCAGAAGAGGUAAGUGGAAUUCCAUGUGUAGCGGUGAAAUGCGUAGAUAUGUGGAGGAACACCAGUGGCGAAAGCGACUUACUGGUCUGUAAUUGACGCUGAGGCUCGAAAGCGUGGGUAGCGAACAGGAUUAGAUACCCUGGUAGUCCACGCUGUAAACGAUGAGUGCUAGGUGUUGGAGGGUUUCCGCCCUUCGGUGCCGGAGCUAACGUAU